GAUGAACGCUAGCGGCAGGCUUAAUACAUGCAAGUCGAGGGGUAGCAAGAUUGUAGCAAUACAAUUGUUGACGACCGGCAAACGGGUGCGGAACACGUACACAACCUUCCUACAAGUGGGGAAUAGCCCAGAGAAAUUUGGAUUAAUACCCCGUAACAUAGCGAUGUGGCAUCACAUUGCUAUUAUAGCUUCGGCGCUUGUUGAUGGGUGUGCGGCUGAUUAGAUAGUUGGCGGGGUAACGGCCCACCAAGUCUACGAUCAGUAGCUGAUGUGAGAGCCUGAUCAGCCACACGGGCACUGGGACACGGCCCCGACUCCUACGGGAGGCAGCAGUAAGGAAUAUUGGACAAUGGACGCAAGUCUGAUCCAGCCAUGCCGCGUGAAGGAUUAAGGUCCUCUGGAUUGUAAACUUCUUUUAUAAGGGACGAAAAAAGGUCUUUCUAGAUCGUCUGACGGUACCUUAUGAAUAAGCACCGGCUAACUCCGUGCCAGCCGCCGCAGUAAAAC
rnacentral:rRNA from 1 species